rnacentral:rRNA from 1 species
GAUGAACGCUGGCGGCGUGCCUAAUACAUGCAAGUCGAGCGAAUGGAUUGAGAGCUUGCUCUUAUGAAGUUAGCGGCGGACGGGUGAGUAACACGUGGGUAACCUGCCCAUAAGACUGGGAUAACUCCGGGAAACCGGGGCUAAUACCGGAUAACAUUUUGAACCGCAUGGUUCGAAAUUGAAAGGCGGCUUCGGCUGUCACUUAUGGAUGGACCCGCGUCGCAUUAGUUAGUUGGUGAGGUAACGGCUCACCAAGGCAACGAUGCGUAGCCGACCUGAGAGGGUGAUCGGCCACACUGGGACCGAGACACGGCCCAGACUCCUACGGGAGGCAGCAGUAGGGAAUCUUCCGCAAUGGACGAAAGUCUGACGGAGCAACGCCGCGUGAGUGAUGAAGGCUUUCGGGUCGUAAAACUCUGUUGUUAGGGAAGAACAAGUGCUAGUUGAAUAAGCUGGCACCUUGACGGUACCUAACCAGAAAGCCACGGCUAACUACGUGCCAGCCGCCGCAGUAA